rnacentral:rRNA from 1 species
CUGCGAUGGAGGGACGGAGAAGGCUAGGCCAGCUUGGCGUUGGUUGUCCAAGUUUAAGGUGGUAGGCUGAAAUCUUAGGUAAAUCCGGGGUUUCAAGGCCGAGAGCUGAUGACGAGUCGUCUUUUAGAUGACGAAGUGGUUGAUGCCAUGCUUCCAAGAAAAGCUUCUAAGCUUCAGGUAACCAGGAACCGUACCCCAAACCGACACAGGUGGUCGGGUAGAGAAUACCAUGGCGCUUGAGAGAACUCGGGUGAAGGAACUAGGCAAAAUGGCACCGUAACUUCGGGAGAAGGUGCGCCGGCUAGGGUGAAGGAUUUACUCCGUAAGCUCUGGCUGGUCGAAGAUACCAGGCCGCUGCGACUGUUUAUUGAAAACACAGCACUCUGCAAACACGAAAGUGGACGUAUAGGGUGUGACGCCUGCCCGGUGCCGGAAGGUUAAUUGAUGGGGUUAGCGCAAGCGAAGCUCUUGAUCGAAGCCCCGGUAAACGGCGGCCGUAACUAUAACGGUCCUAAGGUAGCGAAAUUCCUUGUCGGGUAAGUUCCGACCUGCACGAAUGGCGUAACGAUGGCGGCGCUGUCUCCACCCGAGACUCAGUGAAAUUGAAAUCGCUGUGAAGAUGCAGUGUAUCCGCGGCUAGACGGAAAGACCCCGUGAACCUUUACUGUAGCUUUGCACUGGACUUUGAGCCUGCUUGUGUAGGAUAGGUGGGAGGCUUUGAAGCGUGGACGCCAGUUCGCGUGGAGCCAUCCUUGAAAUACCACCCUGGCAUGCUUGAGGUUCUAACUCUGGUCCGUAAUCCGGAUCGAGGACAGUGUAUGGUGGGCAGUUUGACUGGGGCGGUCUCCUCCUAAAGAGUAACGGAGGAGUACGAAGGUGCGCUCAGACCGGUCGGAAAUCGGUCGCAGAGUAUAAAGGCAAAAGCGCGCUUGACUGCGAGACAGACACGUCGAGCAGGUACGAAAGUAGGUCUUAGUGAUCCGGUGGUUCUGUAUGGAAGGGCCAUCGCUCAACGGAUAAAAGGUACUCCGGGGAUAACAGGCUGAUACCGCCCAAGAGUUCAUAUCGACGGCGGUGUUUGGCACCUCGAUGUCGGCUCAUCACAUCCUGGGGCUGAAGCCGGUCCCAAGGGUAUGGCUGUUCGCCAUUUAAAGUGGUACGCGAGCUGGGUUUAGAACGUCGUGAGACAGUUCGGUCCCUAUCUGCCGUGGACGUUUGAGAUUUGAGAGGGGCUGCUCCUAGUACGAGAGGACCGGAGUGGACGAACCUCUGGUGUUCCGGUUGUCACGCCGGUGGCAUUGCCGGGUAGCUAUGUUCGGAAAAGAUAACCGCUGAAAGCAUCUAAGCGGGAAACUUGCCUCAAGAUGAGAUCUCACUGGGAACUUGAUUCCCCUGAAGGGCCGUCGAAGACUACGACGUUGAUAGGCUGGGUGUGUAAGCGUUGUGAGGCGUUGAGCUAACCAGUACUAAUUGCCCGU